rnacentral:rRNA from 1 species
GACGAACGCUGGCGGCGUGCUUAACACAUGCAAGUCGAACGGAAAGGCCCUUCGUGGUCCUCGAGUGGCGAACGGGUGAGUAACACGUGGGUGAUCUGCCCUGCACUUUGGGAUAAGCAUGGGAAACUGGGUCUAAUAACGAAUAGGACCACGCGCUUCACAGCGUGUGGUGGAAAGCUUUUGCGGUGUGGGAUGGGCCCGCGGCCUAUCAGCUUGUUGGUGGGGUAAUGGCCUACCAAGGCGACGACGGGUAGCCGGCCUGAGAGGGUGACCGGCCACACUGGGACUGAGAUACGGCCCAGACUCCUACGGGAGGCAGCAGUGGGGAAUAUUGCACAAUGGGCGCAAGCCUGAUGCAGCGACGCCGCGUGAGGGAUGACGGCCUUCGGGUUGUAAACCUCUUUCAAUAGGGACGAAGCGCAAGUGACGGUACCUAUAGAAGAAGCACCGGCCAACUACGUG